rnacentral:rRNA from 1 species
CCUACGGGUGGCAGCAGUGGGGGAUAUUGCUCAAUGGGGGGAACCCUGAAGCAGCGACGCCGCGUGGAGGAAGAAGGUUUUCGGAUUGUAAACUCCUUUUAGUAGGGAAGAAAAUGACGGUACCUGACGAAGAAGCCCCGGCUAACUACGUGCCAGCAGCCGCGGUAAUACGUAGGGUGCAAGCGUUACUCGGAAUCACUGGGCGUAAAGGGCGCGUAGGCGGGAGAGCAAGUCAGGUGUGAAAUCCUGUGGCUUAACCCUGGGACUGCAUUUGAAACUGUGUGUCUAGAGUAGGGGAGGGGUAGGUGGAAUUCCUGGUGUAGCGGUGAAAUGCGGAGAGAUCAAGAGGAACACUGAUUGCGAAGGCGACCUGCUAGA